GGAAAUCAGAAGAAGCAAACAUAGCUAGAGGAGAAUCUGAUGAUGAACAUGUGCUAUUAAUGGCUUCUGAAUCUGAUGGUGGAUAUUUGGUAGACUAGUGAUAUAUGGGAACCGACUGCUCAAAUCACCUAACUGGAAACAAGGAAUGACUGAUUAAUUUUGAAUUUAGAAAGAGGACACAAAUCAGAUGUAAUAAUGGUAAGUAUCUA
rnacentral:lncRNA from 1 species